CCAGAUAGUACUUUGAGAACCUCCUGAAAGUGGCCACCUCAGUCUUUUACAAUACCUCACUGGAAUAGAUUCUUGGAUUUAUUAUACCUGAGUAAAGGCCUGGGAAGCUGAUGGAAUUACCUCCCUCAACCCAGAAGAGCACCCAAAGUACCAACGUGAAGAAACCAGGCUCAAGCUAAAAAUCACAAAAGGUAAGUGUUAAUAAUUCACCUUCCAUGGAUAUCCUCUUUAUAGUCUUGCCUAUGCUUGCUGAUCUUACCUUUUUUCUGUUCUAUGCCACAGGGUACAAUGUUUUAGGGAUGAUUAGUGUAUUUCACUUCUUAUUUCUGUAAUCUUUGGCAUUAGAUUCUUUUAUUUUAACCCCUUUUCAUACAAUACACAUAUUUGAUCAAUGCAUACUUAACUUUGUGAAACUUGUUUCUUCUCACCUAGAGGUCAUCAAACUCCAAAUGGGAAGGCAAUCUGAUCCUUGGACAAUGGCUCCCUCUUCCUGGGAACCCUAAAAUAGAUCUCUGGGAAGAAUCUGACUGUUGUUCACCUCAAAACUACACCCACUGUCGGCAGGAAUUAGCUAAAUCAGUCAUUGUCCAUGUUCUAACAGCAGUUAGAUGUGCCUCUUCAGAGUGGGGAAAUAAUAGGGACAGGAGACAGACAAAUUCUAGACAGAAAAAGGCAGGUCCUUGGCGAAAAACCAACCCUCAAGCAGAAAAGCCUGAAACUGCGGCCCAACGUGACAACUUAUAUCCCUGUUUUCCCACUUGAAUGUUGCCUUUUCCUAAACCACCCAUGGCCGUGGCCCUUCCCAUCCUGUGCCUAUAAAGACCCCAGACUCAGCAGACAGAAAGGAGAAGUAGCUGGACAUCAGAGAGAAGCAGCUUGACUUCAGAGGGACAGCUUGAUGGCAUAAGUUAGGAGAAUAAUCCAGACAGACAUGGCCAGACUUCAAAAAAGAUUAGCUACACAACCCAUCCCCUUUUCAGCUCCCCUUCCCACUGAGUGCCACUUUCAUUGGCAAUAAAAUCUCCUGCAUUUACUAUCCUUUCAUUUGUUCAUGUGAUCUCAUUUCUCCUGGAUGCCAUACCAGAGCUCAGAAGCCAUGAGUCUGGAUACAAAAGGUUGUCAACGUGGCCCUUUGCCCUCACUGGUGGAGGGCAGCUGUAG
rnacentral:lncRNA from 1 species